GGGGUUGUGGCUCAGUGGUAGAGCACUUGCCUAAUAUGUGCAAGGCUCUGGCUUUAAUCCUCAGCAUCCCUU
rfam:Ictidomys tridecemlineatus contig126568, whole genome shotgun sequence.